UUUGGCUAGGCCAGGAGGUAACCAGGGCGUGGAAACCAAACAGUUUCCAUGAUGUUCUUGGAUAUCUUCCCAGUAAAUCCAUGGCUGCCAUACUGCUAAAUGCAAAAUGCAAGCUCAGGUUCUCGCUAUAGAUUUCCUGCUGCUUCAUUUUGCUGACUCUGGUGUUGCCAUGGGAGAAUCUCACUUAUGGCCUGGCUAGGUAAAAAUCUUAGCACUUUAUCCUCAGCAAGCUCAACCUGUUUCUCCUGGGCUUUGUUUCCCUAAGUCAUUGAUCAAGAAGCAGCAACCCCUGUCAUCCCAAGCAUAGGUCCCAAGAGGUUACCCCUGAGAUGUCCUAGCAUUCAGGCUGCUAAGAGUUUGCACUUAGGUUUAUGCCACUUGCCCUCAGUCCAGGAGAGUCACAAGUUUGAACCCCAAUGGAAAAACAAAUAAUUUGUUCCAUGGCUGCAAUAAAUGCAGCCUGAUGUCUCAAACUUCUUCCACUGAUUAUUCCUUAAACCAGAAGAGGUAUGUGUCACCUUUGAACUGGCCUUUAUUAUGGAGAGCAAAUUUCUCCAACAUAUGUGCUAUGGCUUCUUGGUCAAAUAUGUCGUUUUCAUAUUUGCAGGGCAGAGAGAUUUUGCAGAAAGCUCACACCUCUCACAUGAUUGCAGCUGAGACCUCAGCGUUUACAUCCCGAAACACUGACACUAACUCUUCUACUCAUCUGGUGAGGGCCAGUCCCCAGGGCGAGAUCCGGUCCUUUCUGCAUGUUCCCGGAGUGACCUGCCCAAGAGAGAUCUGGUUUACAGAAGGACUACUCGAUGUGAAGAUCGCUAGAUUUUAGUCACUGCAGAUCAACCUAACUACGUAGUCCCUGUGAGGCCAUCACUAGGCAUAGCGACUGAUGAGAAUGGAUGUCCCGCUUGCCAUCUGAGCCCCCAAGUUAACUGAUGGUGUGGACAGUUGCGAUGGUGCUGCUUGGUAAGUCCCCUCUCUCAUUUCUCAGGGUGGCUUUUGCCAGCGUACACCCAUUUUUCUCCAUUCCUCUGGCUCAGCCCCUCACCCCAAGCGCACAAUCUCUCUUCCUAUGGAGAGACAAGAUAGAUGUUCUCAGGGGGAACCUUCCUUGGGUUUCACAUCUCCUGCAAAAAUGAUCUAUACCUGCAGACCUUCCUCCUUUGAAUUUCUGGGGAACAUAGGAGCAGAGAUAAGCAUCUCCUAUCUGCCCUGUAAAUUCUAUUCCAUUGCACGAUGAUCUUCAUCAUUCAUCCUUCUACCUUGCUUAUCGGCAACUUCUCUAACACUGGCACAUCUACAGAAAAAUGAGUUCUCCCUGCAUCCCAACACUCUAGCCAAGUGUCAUCAAUCUGUAUGAUUCCAAUUUUAGCGUGUGCAUCGCGUGUCAAACAUUCACAAAACUGUCUGCAUGUACCGUCACCAUUCUGUUUUAACUCUCCUGUUCUGUAAGCCACUAACAUCUGCCUCUAGAUUCAGUACUCUUUAGAACCACUUAUCUUCAAGGCUGUGAGUCAAUGUCCUUCCAAACUCAACCUCUAUUAUUGCUUCUAGGUCUGAUUCUUUUGGGUGACUGUGCAGUAUCAAGACUGAACAAAGUGAAAUUUCUUUUAAAUGACAACCUUAUGGUACUUACAGCCAUUCUUUUUUUUUUUUUUGGGAACCAGGGAUCGAACUCGGGACCUUGCACUUUUGAGGCAGGUGGUGGCACCACUGAGGUAAAUCCCUGGCCCUAGGCAUGCUCUUUAAUGCAUAUUCAUUGUACAUAUUAACCGGGUUCAGUGUGAUAUUUCUAAGCACACCUGCUGUGUGCACCAAUCAAAUCUAACUAUCCUUUUCUUUUCGGUACUGGGGAUUGAACUCAGGUCCUUGCCCUUGUGCAGCAGGCGGGGAAACCACUGAGCUAAAUCCCUGGCUCUAACUAUCCUUUUCUGCAGCUCUCCUCUUCCGUACUAACCACCAUUUUACUUUCUAGGCAACAUUUUCUUUCAGUUUUCACAUGUGAAAAAGAACAUGAAGUAUUUGUCUCCCCAUUUCUGCUGUAUUUUGUGGAAUGUGAUGUACUUCAGUUUUAUCCAUUUUACUGAAAAUGGUAGGA
rnacentral:lncRNA from 1 species